UACGUAGGGGGCGAGCGUUGUCCGGAUUUAUUGGGCGUAAAGAGCUCGUAGGCGGUUUGGUAAGUUGGAUGUGAAAUCUCCAGGCUCAACUUGGAGGGGUCAUUCGAUACUGCCAUGACUAGAGUUCGGUAGGGGAGUGUGGAAUUUCUGGUGGAGCGGUGAAAUGCGCAGAUAUCAGGAGGAACACCCGUAGCGAAGGCGGCACUCUGGGCCGGAACUGACGCUGAGGAGCGAAAGCGUGGGGAGCGAACAGG
rnacentral:rRNA from 1 species